CUUAGACUCACUCAAAUCUGGGCACGAACCCAACAUGCUUGAGCACGCUGCCCCUCUCUGAAACCCAAUUUCCUUAUCUGUAGAUUGCUGACAUUUACACGUGACAGUGAGGCUACAGUUCUCUGCUGGGGACAAAAGACUCGAGGACUUUGCCUGCUCUUCUGAGACCUGCCUGCAGGGAGGAGUGAAGAGAGUGCUGAGCCUGGAGACCAGAACAUCAAGUCUUCACAUCAGAUCUCCAGGCUGUCGUUAGCACUGGGCACCUGCUCUGUGGACAGCGGGAGAACGGGCCUCACGACUCUCCCUCAGAGAAAUGAGAUGCUGGAAGCUCCACGGGGCGGUGGAAGUGAACUUGGCAGGCACGGACUGGCAGUUUCAAAGCAGCUGCUUAAAGAAAGUCCUAGUAAGGCACAAAAAUAUCUGCCCCAGAACCAGAGAGGAUCGCUAAGGUUGCUGCUGGGUCUAGCGGACAGAUAUCAACUUCUGUCUGUACUGAUGCUGAACUUAAUUCCCUUGUGGUCAGGGAACACGUUCAUCAUAAUUAUAAUCCCUUUCAAUACUUUGAUAUUAACUUUAUAGCCCAGGCACAUGGUGUAUUUUUGAUGAUUUUUUUUAAAAAGAUCUACAGUUGAAUACAUACUUUGCUCUA